rnacentral:rRNA from 1 species
CCUACGGGAGGCAGCAGUGGGGAAUAUUGCGCAAUGGGGGAAACCCUGACGCAGCCAUGCCGCGUGUGUGAAGAAGGCUCUAGGGUUGUAAAGCACUUUCACUUGGGAGGAAAAGCCAGGGGCUAAUACCUUUUGGUGUUGACGUUACCUUGAGAAGAAGCACCGGCUAACUCCGUGCCAGCAGCCGCGGUAAUACGGAGGGUGCAAGCGUUAAUCGGAAUUACUGGGCGUAAAGCGCGCGUAGGCGGUCUGUUAAGUCAGCUGUGAAAGCCCUGGGCUCAACCUGGGAACUGCAGUUGAUACUGGCAGACUUGAAUGCGGGAGAGGGAGGUAGAAUUCCAUGUGUAGCGGUGAAAUGCGUAGAUAUAUGGAGGAAUACCAGUGGCGAAGGCGGCCUCCUGGCCUGACAUUGACGCUGAGGUGCGAAAGCGUGGGGAGCA